rnacentral:rRNA from 1 species
AUUGAACGCUAGCGGGAUGCUUUACACAUGCAAGUCGAACGAGUGGCGGACGGGUGAGUAAUAUAUCGGAACGUGCCCAGUAGCGGGGGAUCACUACUCGAAAGAGUGGCUAAUACCGCAUACUAUUGUAGCGGCCGAUAUCGUAUUCGCUAGUUGGUGGGGUAAAGGCUCACCAAGGCAACGAUCCGUAGCUGGUUUGAGAGGACGACGAGCCAAAAUGGGAAGGAGAAACGGCCAAGACUCCUACGGGAGGCAGCAGUGGGGAAUUGUGGACAAGGGGGGAAACCCGGAUCCAGCCAUCCCGCGUGUAUGAGAAGGCCUUCGGGGUGUAAAGUACUUUUGGCAGAGAAGCGGUAUCUGCAGAAUAAGCACAGGCUAACUACGUGCCAGCAGCCGCGGUAAUUC